rnacentral:rRNA from 1 species
UGAGUAACCUGCCCUUCACUCUGGGAUAACUCCGGGAAACCGGGGCUAAUACUGGAUAUGACUCGAACAGGCAUCUGUUUCGGGUGGAAAGAUUUAUUGGUGGGGGAUGGACUCGCGGCCUAUCAGCUUGUUGGUGAGGUAAUGGCUCACCAAGGCGACGACGGGUAGCUGGUCUGAGAGGAUGGCCAGCCACAUUGGGACUGAGACACGGCCCAGACUCCUACGGGAGNA